CCGUAUAGUUUGCAGACAAGCUGUGUGAGCACGCCGGCGUUUGUGCAAGGCUGCGAGUCGGCGGCCAGGAGCGCGUCCCGUCCCGGAGCAGUCCCGCCGCAGGCCGCAGGGUGGUGCUCGUGGCCAAGGCGGCGGCGAGCGGCUGCGAGCGGGGAGGCGGCCGAGCCCAGCGCAGCGCAGCGCAGCGCAGCCGGGAGGCGGCGGCGAGCGGUCGUCCGCGGCGUCCUCCGCAGCAGCCGCUGCCGGUCCCGGAGUGCCGCGCUGCGGGCCGCCAGCCGAGCUCGGCGAGAGGGAGAGAGGGAGGCCGCGAGGGAGGGCGCCCGCCCUUGGCGCCGCGCUGCUGCCGGGCGCCGCUUCCCGCGGAGGACUGCGGCAGACGGAGGGUGUCCGCCGCCCCGCCAUGGCGUCUGCAAGGCAAGUGCUUUGUCUGUGUGCUUUGCUGUGCGUGCCGCGCGUUCGCUGCGAGCCCAUCCGCUACUCCGUAGCCGAGGAGGGGGAGAGCGGCUCCGUGGUGGCCAACGUGGCGGAGGACGCGGGGCUGACGCCGGCGCAGCUGUCGGCUCGCCGGGCACGCAUUGCCUCCGCGGACGGCCGGCAGCAUUUUCGCUUAGAGCGCGCCACCGGCCGCCUCGUCCUGGCGGAGCGGCUCGAUCGCGAGGAGAUGUGCGGCCGCUCGCUUACCUGCACGCUCGCCUUCGAGCUCCUGCUGGAAAACCCGCUGCAGUUCUUUCGUGUCGAGGUGGCCGUGGAGGACGUCAACGACCACUCGCCGGUCUUUCCCGAGGAACGAGUCACUNNNNNNNNNNAACACCCUCAUGUUCUGUUGUGCUGCAUUAUACACUGUACCAUUUUUAAGCUGGUAUACCCUUGUCUGUAAAAGUGAAAUGGAAUGAAUUCCCAAGUGCCAUUCUGGCAAUAAAAAGGAUGCUGUUGUCCUGGGUCACUGUCUGUCUGGGUACUUUUUUAUUUACUGUAUAUAUUUUUAAUUGGUUCCUUAACGGAGGUUUUGGCUUGGUGUCAUGUGUCCUUAAACUGGAGAUGUGACUGCUAGUGCAUGAAGGAUAUCUUGGCAGGUCUCUUGUAGGCCUUGUGAGCACUGAGCAUAAGAAGCAGCUGAGCAGCUGGGCCCAGAAGGGUGGUGAUCAGUGGCACAAAGUCCUGUUGGAUACCAGGAACUAUUGGUAUCCCAUAUUGUUCACCACUGAUUGCAUUGUUCAACAUGUGUGGGAUUGGCUGCUCCACCUGGAUCCAUACAAAUCCAUAGUUUUAGACGGGAUUCAUCUCAGGGUGCUCAGAGAGCUGACUGACGUCAUUGUGGGACUUCUCUCAAUUAUUUUUCAGUGUUCUUGGGAAUCUGGAGAGGUCCCAGUAGACUGGAAGCUGGCAAAUGUUGUACCAGUUUUCAAGAAGGGCAAGAAAGAAGACCCCGGAAACUACAGGCCUGUUAGUGUCAUGGCAGUGCAGGGUAGAAUUAUGGAGAUUAUUCUGGGAGUUAUUAAAUCACACCUGGGGGACAACACAGUCAUUGGCCCCAGCCAACAUGGCUUCAUGAGGGAUAGGUUCUGUUUAACAAAUUUGAUUUCCAUUUAUUAUAAUGUCACCCAUGUAGUUGAUGAAGCGAAACCAGCUGCUGUAAUCUUUUUGGAUUUCAGUAAAGCUUUUGACACAGUUUCCCUUAGGAUCCUACUGGGCACCAUGUCCAGCAUACAGCUAGAGAAAAACAUCAUACGAUGGGUGAAUAAUUAUCUGAUAGGUUGUGCUUGAAGGUUUACGGUAAAUGGGGCUGCAUCAGGCCAGUGGCCGGUCACCAGUGG
rnacentral:lncRNA from 1 species